rnacentral:snRNA from 1 species
AGCUUUGCGCAGUGGCAGUAUCGUAGCCAAUGAGGUUUAUCCGAGGCGCGAUUAUUGCUAAUUAAACUACAUGUUAAGACAUAAUUUCGGCAGCCCUGUGAAACACUUUCUCACACAGACCACAUAGAGAGAAUUUCUGUUUUGUCUGCAGCAGCAG